ACACAGGUUUGGUCCUGGCCUUUCUAUUAGUUCUUAGUAAAAUUACACAUGCAAGCAUCCACGCCCCGGUGAGAAUGCCCUCUAGAUCUUGAAGAUCAAAAGGAGCAGGUAUCAAGCACACCCAGACGGUAGCUCAUAACGCCUUGCUCAACCACACCCCCACGGGAGACAGCAGUGAUAAAAAUUAAGCCAUAAACGAAAGUUUGACUAAGUUAUAUUAAUUAGAGUUGGUAAAUCUCGUGCCAGCCACCGCGGUCAUACGAUUAACCCAAAUUAAUAGAUCUACGGCGUAAAGAGUGUUAAAGAAAAAACUAUAAUAGAGUUAAAUUCUAACUAAGCUGUAAAAAGCCCUAGUUAGAAUAAAAUAACCUGCAAAAGUGACUCUAAAAUCUCUGAUACACGACAGCUAGGGCCCAAACUGGGAUUAGAUACCCCACUAUGCCUAGCCCUAAACCUAGAUAGUUAUAUAACAAAACUAUUCGCCAGAGUACUACUCGCAACAGCCUAAAACUCAAAGGACUUGGCGGUGCUUCACACCCACCUAGAGGAGCCUGUUCUAUAAUCGAUAAACCCCGAUAAACCUUACCAACUCUUGCCAACUCAGCCUAUAUACCGCCAUCUUCAGCAAACCCUAAAAAGGAAUAAUAGUAAGCACAAUCAUCACACAUAAAGACGUUAGGUCAAGGUGUAGCCUAUGAGUUGGGAAGAAAUGGGCUACAUUCUCUGCACAAGAGCAUCCAUCACGAAAGUUUUUAUGAAACUAAAAACUAAAGGAGGAUUUAGCAGUAAAUCAGGAAUAGAGUGCCUGAUUGAAUAAGGCCAUGAAGCACGCACACACCGCCCGUCACCCUCCUCAAGCAUGUAGUAAUAAAAAUAAUCUAUAUUUAAUUACAUAAUCAUGUAAGAGGAGACAAGUCGUACAAAGGUAAGCGUACUGGAAAGUGUGCUUGGAUAUCAAAGUA
rnacentral:ncRNA from 1 species